rnacentral:tRNA from 1 species
CCGGGCAACGGCGGGGUCGGGGCUGCUGGCGGUGCACUGCCGGUGCGCGGCAUCGGCUUCGGGUUCUGUUCCUGCGGCCCGGA